rnacentral:rRNA from 1 species
ACGGGAGGCAGCAGUGAGGAAUAUUGGUCAAUGGACGAGAGUCUGAACCAGCCAAGUAGCGUGCAGGAUGACGGCCCUAUGGGUUGUAAACCGCUUUUGUACGGGAAUAAAGUGACCUACGUGUAGGUUUUUGCAUGUACCGUAAGAAUAAGGACCGGCUAAUUCCGUGCCAGCAGCCGCGGUAAUACGGAAGGUCCGGGCGUUAUCCGGAUUUAUUGGGUUUAAAGGGAGCGUAGGCCGUGCUUUAAGCGUGUUGUGAAAUGUAGGCGCCCAACGUCUGCACUGCAGCGCGAACUGGAGCGCUUGAGUACGCAGGAAGUAGGCGGAAUUCGUCGUGUAGCGGUGAAAUGCUUAGAUAUGACGAAGAACUCCGAUUGGGAAGCCAGCUUACUGUAGCGCCACUGACGCUGAUGCUCGAAAGCGUGGGUAUCGAACAGGAUUAGAUACCCUGGUA